rnacentral:rRNA from 1 species
CUCAGGAUGAACGCUGGCUGUGUGCCUAAUACAUGCAUGUCGAACGAAGCACUUGUGCUUAGUGGCGAAUGGGUGAGUAACACGUACUUAAUCUGCCCUCAAGUCUGGGACAACAGUUGGAAACGACUGCUAAUACCGGAUAUGUAUUCUUAUCGCAUGAUAAGUUUAUAAAAGGAGCGUUUGCUUCGCUAGAGGAUGAGAGUGCGCCAUAUUAGCUAGUUGGUAGGGUAAGAGCCUACCAAGGCGAUGAUAUGUAGCGGGGUCGAGAGGCUGAACCGCCACACUGGGACUGAGAUACGGCCCAGACUCCUACGGGAGGCAGCAGUAGGGAAUAUUCCACAAUGAACGAAAGUUUGAUGGAGCGACACAGCGUGGAGGAUGAAGGUUUUCGGAUCGUAAACUCCUGUUAUAAGAGAAGAACAAGCUUAAAUAGGAAAUGAUUAAGCCCUGACGGUACCUUAUCAGAAAGCACCGGCAAACAUUU